CUGAAGGCGAGGGGCUCCCUGCCAGGGUCCUUCAGCUCAGAUGGGCAUCUCGGGAGCACCCACCGCCACCACUGCACUCAGUGUCAUAAGACUGCAGAAAAGCUGAGGUGGCUUUCCCAAGAUGCACCAGGAUCCCACUGAGCCAUUCUGAGGACAGCUCCCAUCGCUGGGGAUGGAGGAAGUUGUGCCUGUGAAGACUGAGGCAUGACGUCAUGGAAGCUAAAACACAGACUGGAGAGGGACUGGGAAUUUCUGAUCUUGCCUGUUUACAGUAAAGGAAAUCCAUCCUCUUCUCCCUGGAGAAGACUGCAAAACAACACCCACGGUUAAGCAGCAAGCCUCACCAAGAGGACUCACCAAGGAGAGGGCCGCUCGCUUGAGUCAAGAUGUACCAGAACCCCAAACUGCAGAGCAGGGAGGAGAGGCCAGACCCAGCAGAAACUUCUUCUGUGCUGUGUCUGAGGCUCCUCAGUGGUGCCUGCGGACGCUGUUGGCCCAGCGCACGCCAAGCACAGCUGACAGUCUUUCGAGGACGUGAGCUUUUGUUGGGAGUGAUUGAGUCUCGCAUUGUUUUGCCAACUCCUAAACAAACGGAUGGAUCCAUUUGGAGCUUGUCUGUCUUUGUUGUUGUUUAAUAAAGCAGCAAUCAUAUAUGUGCGAGAUAAUGGG
rnacentral:lncRNA from 1 species